rnacentral:pre_miRNA from 1 species
UUUUUUAGAAGGUUACUUGUUAGUUCAGGACCUCAUUUUUCUUGCCUGAACUAUUGUAUAUCCUCCUGUUUUGCUUAC